GCAGGGCUGGCUCCCAGCUCUAUGAAGGCACACACACACACACAGUGACUGGCAGGGCUGGCUCCCAGCUCUAUGAAGGCACACACACACAGUGACUGGCAGGGCUGGCUCCCAGCUCUAUGAAGGCACACACACACAGUGACUGGCAGGGCUGGCUCCCAGCUCUAUGAAGGCACACACACACAGUGACUGGCAGGGCUGGCUCCCAGCUCUAUGAAGGCACACACACACACAGUGACUGGCAGGGCUGGC